UGUAUUUCUUAAAAGCUCCCAUGUAUUGAUCCUGCCAGUCUGGACACACUUUCAAGUAGAAAAAUAAGACCUUCACUGUUGUCUACUAACCAUGAAAGUGAGGCUCAAAAAGUAAUUGGCUUAAGGCUGCAUAGUAAGUAUUAGCCAAAUCUGAUUUCAAGACUAUAAUUUUGUCAUCUACGUAAUCCUACCUCAUCCACACUACAGCACCUACUUAGAAGAUUGUUGUGAAGAUAAACUUGUAGUUUAUAUGAUAAGGAAGAAUGCUUAUUACUUCAGUUAAGGAUUUCCAACUGGAAUUGGGAAGCUACAUUUACACCAAAAGCCAAACACUGAUCAGACCUCCACAGAAUUAAGGAUCACUGCAAUGGUCCUGAAAGACUUGUACGUGAUCACCAUGAACACAGUGGUUUUUGCUGCUUUCCUUUCUGUUGGCCCUGAGCCAGCAGGUCUGGAUUCCUAACAGCAGUUACUUUGCUGUUUUGUCUGGGACAGCAAGAGGAGAAUGUUCCCAAUAUGGAACAGAGACAGGUUGAAAUCUAGACUCUCUGUCCCAAAUAUUAAUUUCAAAGAACUCUUAACAAGACUUAAAUGAUGAUAUAAAUCUAUAUGCCAAAAAAGUGCAAAAAAA